AGUAAUGUCUGGGAAACUGCCUGAUGAGGGGGAUAACUGCUGGAAACGGCAGCUAAUACCGCAUAACGUCGCAAGACCAAAGAGGGGGACCUUCGGGCCUCUUGCCAUCGGAUGUGCCCAGAUGGGAUUAGCUAGUAGGUGGGGUAACGGCUCACCUAGGCGACGAUCCCUAGCUGGUCUGAGAGGAUGACCAGCCACACUGGAACUGAGACACGGUCCAG
rnacentral:rRNA from 1 species